rnacentral:rRNA from 1 species
UGGGGAAUAUUGGACAAUGGGCGAAAGCCUGAUCCAGCCAUGCCGCGUGUGUGAAGAAGGUCUUCGGAUUGUAAAGCACUUUAAGUUGGGAGGAAGGGCAUUAACCUAAUACGUUAGUGUUUUGACGUUAACGACAGAAUAAGCACCGGCUAACUCUGUGCCAGCAGCCGCGGUAAUACAGAGGGUGCAAGCGUUAAUCGGCAUUACUGGGCGUAAAGCGCGCGUAGGUGGUUUGUUAAGUUGGAUGUGAAAGCCCCGGGCUCAACCUGGGAACUGCAUCCAAAACUGGCAAGCUAGAGUACGGUAGAGGGUGGUGGAAUUUCCUGUGUAGCGGUGAAAUGCGUAGAUAUAGGAAGGAACACCAGUGGCGAAGGCGACCACCUGGACUGAUACUGACACUGAGGUGCGAAAGCGUGGGGAGCAAACA